GACGAACGCUGGCGGCGUGCUUAAUACAUGCAAGUCGAACGGAGCCUAGCCGGUAGUUUACUACAGGCGAAAGCUUAGUGGCGGACGGGUGAGUAACGCGUGGGCAAUCUGCCCCUAAGUCCGGGAUAACAGAGCGAAAGUUCUGCUAAGACCGGAUACUCUUCCUUGGUCGCAUGGCGGAGGAAGGAAAGGAUACGCUUAGGGAUGAGCCCGCGUCCCAUUAGCUAGUUGGUGAGAUAACGGCCCACCAAGGCGACGAUGGGUAGCCGGCCUGAGAGGGUGGACGGCCACACUGGGACUGAGACACGGCCCAGACUCCUACGGGAGGCAGCAGUAGGGAAUUUUCCGCAAUGGGGGAAACCCUGACGGAGCAACGCCGCGUGAGGGAAGAAGGUCUUCGGAUCGUAAACCUUUGUCAUCGAGGACGAAAACUGACGGUACUCGAGGAGGAAGCCCCGGCUAACUACGUGCCAGCAGCCGCGGUAAUAGUACUCUA
rnacentral:rRNA from 1 species